rnacentral:rRNA from 1 species
CCAGACUCCUACGGGAGGCAGCAGUGAGGAAUCUUCCACAAUGGGCGAAAGCCUGAUGGAGCAACGCCGCGUGCAGGAUGAAGGCCUUCGGGUUGUAAACUGCUUUUAUAAGUGAGGAAUAUGACGGUAACUUAUGAAUAAGGAUCGGCUAACUACGUGCCAGCAGCCGCGGUCAUACGUAGGAUCCGAGCGUUAUCCGGAGUGACUGGGCGUAAAGAGUUGCGUAGGCGGUUUGUUAAGCGAAUAGUGAAACCUGGUGGCUCAACCAUACAGACUAUUAUUCGAACUGGCAAACUCGAGAGUGGUAGAGGUCACUGGAAUUUCUUGUGUAGGAGUGAAAUCCGUAGAUAUAAGAAGGAACACCAAUGGCGUAGGCAGGUGACUAGACCAUUUCUGACGCUAAGGCACGAAAGCGUGGGGAGCGAACCGGAUUAGAUACCCGGGUAGUCCACGCCGUAAACGAUGGAUACUAGCUGUUGGAGGUAUCGACCCCUUCAGUAGCGAAGCUAACGCGUUAAGUAUCCCGCCUGUGGAGUACGGCCGCAAGGCUAAAACAUAAAGGAAUUGACGGGGGCCCGCACAAGAAGGGCGAAUUCC